rnacentral:rRNA from 1 species
GAUGAACGCUGGCGGCGUGCCUAAUACAUGCAAGUCGAGCGAACAGACGAGGAGCUUGCUCCUCUGACGUUAGCGGCGGACGGGUGAGUAACACGUGGAUAACCUACCUAUAAGACUGGGAUAACUUCGGGAAACCGGAGCUAAUACCGGAUAAUAUAUUGAACCGCAUGGUUCAAUAGUGAAAGACGGUUUUGCUGUCACUUAUAGAUGGAUCCGCGCCGCAUUAGCUAGUUGGUAAGGUAACGGCUUACCAAGGCAACGAUGCGUAGCCGACCUGAGAGGGUGAUCGGACACACUGGAACUGAGACACGGUCCAGACUCCUACGGGAGGAAGCAGUAGGGAAUCUUCCGCAAUGGGCGAAAGCGUGACGGAGCAACGCCGCGUGAGUGAUGAAGGUCUUCGGAUCGUAAAACUCUGUUAUUAGGGAAGAACAAAUGUGUAAGUAACUAUGCACGUCUUGACGGUACCUAAUCAGAAAGCCACGGCUAACUACGUG